CCUACGGGUGGCAGCAGUGAGGAAUAUUGCACAAUGGGGGAAACUCUGAUCCAGCGACGCCGCGUGAGUGAAGAAGGCACUCUUUAUGGAAAGCUCCAUUUGUAGGGAAGUAAAUUACGGUACCUGUGUAAUAUUCUACGUCUCACUUCGUGCCAGCAGCCGCGGUAAUACGGAGGCAGCAAGCGUUAUCCGGAUUUACUGGGUGUAAAGGGAGCGUAGUCGGCAGGGCAAGUCUGGAGUGAAAGGCUGCGGCUCAACCCCAGGAUUGCACUGGAAACUGUACGGCUGGAGUGCAGGAGAGGUAGGUGGAAUUCCUGGUGUAGCGGUGAAAUGCGUAGAUAUUAGGAGGAACACCGGUGGCGAAGGCGGCUUACUGGACUGUAACUGACGUUGAGGCUCGAAAGCGUGGGGAGCAAACAGGAUUAGAUACCCCAGUAGUC
rnacentral:rRNA from 1 species